UACGGGGGGGGCAAGCGUUGUUCGGAUUUACUGGGCGUAAAGAGCGCGCAGGCGGUCGUUCAAGUCGCGUGUGAAAGCCCCCGGCUCAACUGGGGAGGGUCACGCGAUACUGAUCGACUCGAAGGCAGGAGAGGGUAGUGGAAUUCCCGGUGUAGCGGUGGAAUGCGUAGAGAGUCGGGAAGAACAUCAGUGGCGAAGGCGGCCUGCUGGGCUGUUGCUGACGCUGAGGCGCGGACAGCGUGGGGAGCAAACAGG
rnacentral:rRNA from 1 species